GAAAAAUAGAGGCCACGAUCCACCCACGAACACACGUCCCAUCCUCCAACUCCCCUCACCCCAAAGAAAAGAGAAACAGCCCAACAAUCUCUCCGCUCUCGAGAAAUUCGCCGCCGCUGCUCCCCUCAUCGUCCUCUCCUGGUCGUCGUGGCUGCGGUCCUGGCCGUGGACGUCGCCGCCGGCCCCGCACUCCCAUCUGCAUGAGGAUCAUCUAUUCUCCGUCUCAAUUCCCUCCACCCCCCUCGAUUCCAAUCUAAUCUCUCCCGAGAAACUUCACUCGACUCGGCCGUGGCGAAGAUGGCCGACGGCUCGCCGUCUGGCUUUCUCGCUGUUGAGCCCUGUUCCGCCUCCGCCCUCCAUCCACUUGCUCAAGACGUCUUCCGCGGCCGUCAGCUUCCACGAUUUGGGUUUGUGGCAGGCGUGAACUAUGCGAGGAGGGUCCGAGGGUGUGCGUCCUCUAUGUGAAUUCGACGGGUCGUCUUCAUCGCAGGCGGCCAUGGGGAGGACACAUGUGGCGGAGCAGAUGGGGUACGAGGACGCGUAGAAGGCAAACAGCUCAGACUUAAGCCCUUUGCCCCCGUCAGGACUCUGUCACAGGUGCGUGCAUCUCGAUCCUUUCCUUCGUUCUGGUCGGUUAAUUAAGUGCCCGUGAACCAAUAUUCCUCUUGGUCGGCGCUUUCGGCCGAUGGCAAAACGAACACAGAGCAAACCUGCCUUGCCUUGGGAUGGACUGAAUGAGCUAACAACGUAGCUAGCUAACUUUGCCUUGAGAUGGAUCCAGUCGAUGGAUUGAUUGGUCGACUAGCAGGUGGAUUCUAUUGAUGGACUAGCUAGCAACACACACGCACACACUGGCAUGUAACGCUAUUUGCUGUUUAUACUUCUUCAACUCAUGUUGAUACAACCUAGGAGCUACAUAUAUCACCUGGCUAGGUAGAGUUACGAUUACUGCUCAAAGAAAAGUAGAGUUAUGAUUUCUAUACUACUUGGACAAGCAAUCGUUGGUGAACUCUAACAAUCUGUGAGAUCUGUGGGCAACCAAAAGAGAGAACUAGCAAGGCUGGUGAGUUCUCUUUCACUAUUUUAUCUAGAUUCAUCGUGCUAAUUUAAGUAGUUCUAAGCUAUCAUGUAAAUGUAACAUAACUAUUUUAAAGGUUAUCGAUAUAAUCCAUGUUUUGCUUUUCCAUUUUUAGCAAAUAGAGCGGAUUCUGAAAUCACAUAUUUGAAUUAGCUUUUGGUCGGUCGACCUGAGUAGUAAUUCCUUUUAUUAUCCCAGUUGUUAUUUCUACCUUGCUCUGCUGUAUAAGAUACUCCAUAUAGGAGGUCAAGCUUGAAAAAUGUAUAAUACCCGACUUGUCGAGAAUCAUGUUAAUAAAGCUGUCAUGAUAUUUUCCCUGCUUCAAAGUGCUCCCUGAGGUAUUAGUUAACGGUAGUCUGUAUUGAUUUUUUUGUACAGAAUUUGACCAUUUGUGCAGGCUUUGGUUCGUGAUGGAUCGACCUUAAAGUCUUAAUGAUUACCCUUUCCAACAAGCAACAGUGGGGUUGUUCUGCUCAAUCCUGCUAUUUUUAGUCCAUUAAUUUGCUACUGAAUAUAUACAGUUCUUGCAAGAGAACGGACAUAAGUGUAUUUGGGUGAGGCACCAGAUACAACAUCUCACUUUUCGUUUUGGAAAUUAUCUUUAUUUAACUCCAAAAGGUCACCAGCUGAAGGUUGUGUUUGGCAAUGGAAUAGUAUGCUGAGGUAUCAAGGAUGGGAUAAUGAAUUGGUAAAAAUCACUUUCCUUUGUUGGUACCAAUACCAAUGCCACCAAGUGCAGUCAUAUUGACGACAGUCAAAUAGCCUUGCAGAAUGGACAAUGUUCAAAGAUAGAAAGCAUUAUGUCGUGUCUAGAUAUGAGUGGAAAACGUGCUACGUGUGUACUGCUACUACACCAGCCCAAGUACUGAUGUACAGUUCCUCCUGAAUUCAGACACUAAGAAGCUAAGCUUUUGCAAAUGAAUCUACUUAUCCAAGAGGCUGGCAACAAGAUCGGAUGUUCAAUAACUAGAGGAGCAACACUCGAUCGACAGGAAACUAUGAGCAUGCAUAUCAUCAAGUUUGCCGGUUCUACAUUUUAAACCUUAGCCAACUACCUACUUUCUAAUUUUCUUGCAUGCAGCGAAUUGACUUCCCAAAGAACUACAUGGAAGGGAUAUAUGUUUGAUUUGUUUUGAAUUGAUUGCAAGAAAUACAUGUAUGGCACAUACAAUUCUAUUCUCAAAACAUAUAUGAAUGAAAAUUUAUUUGUUUUUUUUA